AGCGGGGUUUACGCAGCUGGGU
rnacentral:miRNA from 1 species